AUUGAACGCUGGCGGCGUGGCUAAAACAUGCAAGUCGAGGGAGAUCCCCGCAAGGGGUGAAACCGGCGGACGGGUGAGUAAUGCAUUCGAACGUGCCCCGAGGUGGGGGAUAGGUCGGGGAAACCUGGCGUAAUACCCCAUGAGCUCUUCGGAGGAAAGCCGCAAGGCGCCUUGGGAGCGGCGAAUGUCCUAUCAGGUAGUUGGCGGGGUAAAGCCCACCAAGCCUAUGACGGUAGCAGUGUGAGAGCACGGCCUGCCACAUCGGGACGUGAGACACUGCCCGGACCUCCUACCGGGAGGCUGCAGUAACGAAUAAUUCCGCAAUGCGCGAAAAGACGUGACGGA
rnacentral:rRNA from 1 species